GCCACACAUCCUCAGUCCUGGAUGCAGUGUAGUAGACGUUUAAUACCCUUCAUGGGAACUCUGCCUCCUGGAGCAGGUGACCCAAGCAAAAUUUCAGGACUUUGGGGGAUAAGGGGCAGCUGUAGAGGGUAGAAUGGAGGUGGGUGAUUGGCAGUGGGGGACCCGGGAGGUUGAUAAGGAAUUCUUUGUUCUGACCCACCUAUGAAGGCAUAAUAGAGGGAGGCAGGAGGCAGAUCUUGGGCUCCCCCUAGAGGCGUCUGUGCACUCAUUCACCAAACACGGCGCCCCUAUCCGCUCUGGACACUGCCAGGUGCUGGAGGUGCAGUGCUGAGCAAGGGAUGAGGCCCCUGUCCCACGGAGUGCAAGCUUCUCGCUAGAGGAGGCAAACAUGAAACACACUUAGACUCAGACCAAAGGAAGUUCCAGGGUGCUGUGUAGAGCCAGCUCUCCAAAGGACCUGAGCUCCCUGCUGCUGCCUUUAAACUGGGAGCCUGGGAAGAGCCAGCUGGGACUCGGAGCUACGCCAGUGGUCAGCCCAGCCACCAAGGCCAAGCUUCUAAGUCACAGAAUGAAAAGGCUUGGAAGCUGUGGGCCCUUCAUGUGGGGCUGAAGUCUUAAGACCUGGAGAGCAGCCCCAAGGGUGGAGAAGCGGCUGCUGAAGGGAUCAGCAUGCGCUGGCACAGGAAGUCUGUUUUCCAUGUGUCUGGAACCCAGCCGAAGCUUCCUGGGGUAAUUUUAACCAGUAUCCACUCUAGAACAAUACCAAAAAAGCAAGACUGUGUUGGGCUGGAGGAAAGGCAGUAAUCAACUCCAUGUUCCACGUGAGGAAACUGAAGAUCAUGGAAGGCAAGUCGAGAGCCCCAAGGUUAUCCAGCUUCAAGGUCACCAGUCACCCAGCUUCCUUCUUUCGUGCAGCCAGAUGCCCAUCCCAGUACUAGGUUGCGCUGUGGGGAUUGUGGAGUAGCCCUCUACCACCUAGGGCCCUCAUGUGUUUCCUUUAUUUGAGACAGGGUCUCACUCUGUCACCCAGGGUGGAAGUGGCCCAGUCACAGCUUACUGCAGCAUCAGCCUCCCCAGGCUCAAGUGAUUAAGGCCUCCCUCUGCCUGCCCCACCCCCACUGUGUUUAUAUUGUUGGGAAACUUAAUCCACGGAAAUAAAGUGUGGAUUAUUUUUA
rnacentral:lncRNA from 1 species